rnacentral:rRNA from 1 species
GUGUCAGCAGCCGCGGUAAGACAGAGGCCCCAAGCGUUAGGCGGAAUCACUGGGCUUAAAGCGUGUGUAGGCGGACGCCUAAGUGUCUUGUGAAAUCCCACGGCUCACCCGUGGAACUGCUGGGCAUACUGGGCGUCUUGGGCCAACUAGGGGCAGCCGGAACAAGCGGUGGAGCGGUGAAAUGCGUAGAUAUCGCUUGGAACGCCGAAGGUGAAAACAGGCUGCUGGGGUUGUGCCGACGCUGAGACACGAAAGCCAGGGGAGCAAACGGGAUUAGAUACCCCAGUAGUCC